CCUACGGGUGGCAGCAGUGAGGAAUAUUGGUCAAUGGGCGCGAGCCUGACCCAGCCAAGUAGCGUGAAGGAUGACUGCCCUACGGGUUGUAACCUUCUUUUAUAAAGGAAUAAAGUGAGGCACGUGUGCCUUUUUGUAUGUACUUUAUGAAUAAGGAUCGGCGAACUCCGUGCCAGCAGCCGCGGUAAUACGGAGGAGCCGAGCGUUAUCCGGAUUUAUUGGGUUUAAAGGGAGCGUAGGUGGGUUGUUAAGUCAGUUGUGAAAGUUUGGGGCUCAACCGUAAAAUUGCAAUUGAUACUGGCAGACUUGAGUGCAGUUGAGGAAGGCGGAAUUCGAGGUGUAGCAGUGAAAUGCGUAGAUAUCUGGAGGAACACCGAUUGCGAAGGCAGCCUACUAGACUGCCACUGACAUUGAGGCUCGAAAGUGUGGGUAUCAAACAGGAUUAGAUACCCGAGUAGUC
rnacentral:rRNA from 1 species